rnacentral:rRNA from 1 species
CCGGAAUCACUGGGCGUAAAGGGUGCGUAGGCGGCUUAGCAAGCCAGGGGUGAAAGGCAUUGGCUCAACCAAUGUAAGCCUUUGGAACUGUUAAGCUUGAGUGCAGGAGAGGUAAGUGGAAUUCCUAGUGUAGAGGUGAAAAUUCGUAGAUAUUAGGAGGAACACCAGUGGCGAAGGCGACUUACUGGACUGUAACUGACGCUGAUGCACGAAAGCGUGGGUAGCGAACAGGAUUAGAUACCCUGGUAG